CGGCGGCUGUGACGGGGCAGAGCGCACGACGCCGCCGCCGCCUACGCGCGAGCCGCUACAACCUCCGACCGUCGUCGCCGCCGGCACAGGAGGGGGGCCAAGACGUCUCUCCAACGCGGGGCGAGCGCAGGACCGCGCCAGGCGUCCAAAAGAAGGAAGAUGCCUCGCGGCGACAGGGAAAGCGACUGGAGGGAAAAGGAGCAGUUCCGCAAACUGUUUAUUGGCGGCUUAAGCUUUGAAACCACAGAGGAAAGCUUGAGGAGUUAUUAUGAGCAAUGGGGAAAACUUACAGACUGUGUGGUAAUGAGGGAUCCUGCAAGCAAAAGAUCAAGGGGAUUUGGUUUUGUAACAUUCUCUUCCAUGGCUGAAGUUGAUGCAGCUAUGGCUGCAAGACCUCACACGAUUGAUGGAAGGGUGGUUGAGCCUAAGAGAGCUGUGGCUAGAGAGGAAUCUGGAAAACCUGGUGCUCAUGUUACUGUGAAAAAAUUAUUUGUUGGUGGUAUUAAAGAGGACACUGAAGAGCACCACCUUCGUGACUACUUUGAGGAAUACGGAAAAAUCGACACUAUUGAAAUCAUUACUGACAGACAGUCUGGUAAAAAGAGAGGGUUUGGUUUUGUUACAUUUGAUGACCAUGAUCCUGUGGAUAAAAUUGUAUUGCAGAAGUACCACACCAUCAAUGGCCAUAAUGCAGAAGUGAGGAAAGCUCUCUCUAGACAGGAAAUGCAGGAGGUUCAAAAUUCUAGGAGUGGGAGAGGAGGGAACUUUGGUUUUGGUGAUGCUCGUGGAGGUGGUGGCAACUUCGGUCCAGGACCUGGCAGCAAUUUCAGAGGGGGAGCCGGUAAGACAGAUGGAUAUGGAAGCGGCCGUGGAUUUGGUGAUGGAUAUAAUGGAUAUGGCGGAGGACCUGGAGGUGGCAACUUUGGUGGCAGUCCUGGUUAUGGAGGAGGAAGAGGAGGCUAUGGUGGAGGAGGACCUGGAUAUGGCAACCAGGGUGGGGGCUAUGGAGGUGGUUAUGACAACUAUGGAGGAGGCAAUUAUGGAAGUGGAAACUAUAAUGAUUUUGGCAAUUACAACCAACAACCUUCAAAUUAUGGUCCGAUGAAGAGUGGAAAUUUUGGUGGCAGCAGGAACAUGGGGGGACCAUAUGGUGGAGGAAACUAUGGUCCCGGGGGCAGUGGAGGAAGUGGUGGAUAUGGAGGGAGGAGCCGUUACUGAGUUUAUUCAAGCAUGCCAUGGCUAUGAUAUGAACCCUGGACAAGCAUAGACUGCUGCCACUGUACACUGCUACAGUUGAACAAAUGAGACCUGCAAGUGUCCAUUAGUAAAGCUUUGCAAGGGUUCCAUCCCUGGUGUUGGUAGUUAAAAUGGAAGGUGCCAUGCUGCAGGUAACUAAUGAAGAAGUGGUCAACCACAGAAACGCUUCAAGAAAUAAGAAAUUCUGUAUCAUCAGAAAAUAGUUGUUUUUGCUGCCUUCAUUAAAAAUCCUAGAGGUUAAUACUGAUAAAACAUCACAAUUAGUACAGCUCCCUGUAAUGAUGGGUUUUUUAAAUUACAGUAAUAAUGUCUUGUAAACAUUUCGAAUAAAAUUCAGAUUCGUUAGGAGAAACAAAUCACUAAUGUUAAAAUAGCAAACAUUCUGUGAGUAGAAAGUUUAACUACAUAUAUUUAUAACUUUCAUAGCUUUAAAAUAAAGUAUUUUUAUACCAAAGUAGUUCUAGUGUAAUGCUUAAUAAAAACUUAGUGCGUAUCUAACAUUAAAUAAUGUUUAUGUUUAGACCCUUUCAUGAUUCGAAACAUUCCAUUUUGAGGUGAAUUUAAAACGGAAUCAGUUUGACAACCAUGUUCAUGGAACUUCUUUCUCUGACCAUGGGCAUCUGUUCUCUUUUGGGAGAAACAGUGCUGCAAAUUUAAACUGCUGAUGUCUUUGCUGUUGGACACAAGUGCUUAAAAGUAGCUUUUUUUGGCUGUGUUUUAUAUUGCCUCAUACUUUACUGUUAACGAAACUAUGACCUAAGUCAGUUUGUCAGAUUGCAAUAGGACUAGAGCUUUAUCCUUUUCACUUUUAAAGAGCUUUUAGCAUGAAGACAGACAGACUGACUGGAGAGUUCCUGCUGUACAAAACUAUUACCCAUAGCUGCAUCUGGGGGCCGAAGAAAAAUAACAAAACAAAAAAUGCCAAACGAAUCAAAACCACUAAAACAAACACCAAGUGUGAUCUUGGGAAAGCUUCUGUUGGGAGUGUAUUUUAAGGGAAGGUAUCUUGAGGUUAUACUGUUUUAAUUGCUUAUCUUCAUGCAUGGUUUAUUCAAAACCUGAAAUUCACAUGCUUUGGCAGAAUCUUUAGCACUUACAAUACUGUUUCAGGAUUCACAUACAGUUUUUUUCUGUUUCUUAAUUUAAACUUUGAAAUACUUGCAUAGGUAACCAGUGGGCUGCAAUGGAAGUAGAAAAUGAAGAUACACAAACCUGCUUUACUUUCUUCUUUCCAACAGAAUGACCAGAUCAUAAGGAAUUUGCCUUCUUUCCUGUAACUUAGAUGUAGUUGAUGGAAGUUUUUUCUUUACAGUUGCCAAGUCCGCAUUCAUAUACCAUUUUAAAAACUAACAGCCACUUCAAAGGGCAGUAAUUAUUUUUCUGUUUAAAAUACUAUUUCAGUAGUUUAGCUACAAGGUUUAAAAUUUACUUGAGUAUGUUUUCUGUGAUAAGGAUGUUCUCAUUUUGAUCUGUUGGCAGUGGGGGAAGGGAGCGUAUGGGGGACAGCACUGCAAGAACGAAGUUACUGGAUAUUUAAAGUCUUGAAAAGCUGGUGUAUUUAAGUUCCCUGAUGUCCUACUGUUGAACUUCCCUGACUUUUACCUUGGUAUGGUCUUAAAAGUUAAGGCAUGUGACAGUCAGCAAUGUUUACCAAUGAAUGUGGUGAGAAGAGUCACAGUUUUGAGCCAACCCAAUACUGGAAGUUAACAGCUUCAAAUAAAAGCAGUGUUGUGUGGUCAGUUACUGGUCA